AGGGUUGCGAUGAUAGUCAAGCAGAAUAUUGCUGGCCUUCACAUCUCUGUGUACAAUGCGAACUCGCGAUUCCUCAUGAAGAUAGGCUAGACCCCUGGCUACACCCAAGCAUAUAUCAUAACGGGUUGGCCAAUCAAGGUCCAAACUUCCGUUUCCUGUUCAUGAAUAACAAGUAUAACUGUAUUCAUUGUGUUUUCUUCAUAAGAAAAUGUCAUGAUAGCUAGAGCUGCUAAGGUGCUACCCUUACCAAAUAGUGCUUGAUCAAGGCUCUUGUUUUCAAGAUACUCAUAGACAAGUGAUCGGUUUACUCCUUCAAUGCAGCACCCAUACAAUUUCACAAGGUUACGAUGUUGCACAGCUGAUAUGGUUGCAAUCUCUGCUACAAACUGCUUCUUUCCUUGGUGGGAUGCUACAGAUAGUUGCUUUACAGCAACAACUCUUCCAUCAGAAAGUGUCCCCUAACGAAUAUAAAAUUAUUGCAAAAAAAAAAAAAAAAAAGGAGAAUGAGAAAAAUACCAUGUUUGUAAUCAUAAUUAUAAUCAUAAAAAAAAAAUAUAAGCUCAAUAGGAUAAUGACCUACCUUAUAGACAGGUCCAAAUCCGCCCUCUCCAAGCUUAUUAGAAGGACUGAAGUCUCCAGUGGCAUUUUUUAGUUCAGCAUAACUGAAAGUGUAUGGCCUAGCAUCCAUACCUAGGAGCUCUGCAAAUUCCAAACAAAGCACAAUCAAUUGUGAAUCUGCUCACUGAUUUCCUACCUAAUCAACAAGAUGUCUUUGCAAAUGCAAAAUUAUCUUUGACAACUGGAUGUUGAUCUGCAAGAACUUGUAUAUUCUUUGGCAAGAUGUUUGGAUGCCUCUUCUUAACAUGCAUCAGAAUAAACAUAAUUGCAAAAUAUUUUAAUUCUAGAACUGGUCUUUAGCUUAAAUGUAGUUUAGUAGGAGAUAAGUAGAUAGAAGUAACUAAUGUCCCUCUCUAACUAUCAAAAAAUAAGUGGGUUCUUUAAACUGCCUUUUAUCUCUGAACUUUGGUAUAAAAAAAACAUGUUCCACAAAGAGAGCAGUUCUUUACACCUCUGUUUUAUAUUUAAAACAAUAAUUAAAAAGAAAAAAGAAAAAAAGGCAUAAGUGCAUCACUAGAUGUUAAAUGUCCUAAGCAGGCAUCUAUAGACCAACACCAGUGAAAACAAGAAAAAGUACUUGCAAAUAAUGUCAGAGUGGGCGCUGAAACCCAAUUCAGAAGUCAGAGCACUAACAAUAUGAACACGACAUAGCCUUUUGCAUUACCUUCAUCUUGGUUUUCUGAUGGCUUUUUUCUUCUUAGAACGAAAUAAUAAAGAGCGAAAACAGAUAGAAAGCACACAACUCCAAGGCCAACAGCAAUUCCCACUAUCAAGCCAGUCCUAUUCUUCUUCCCAUUUGGAGCAGUGUUACUCACGGUAGGUUCAAAAUCUGUGUAAAAUUUAGUCUCAGUACCAGUAUGAAAGUGGAUCAACAUUUUAGUUACUGAUUUGCAUCAAAUAGCUUCCAAUUGCAUUACCUGGGGUAGCACUGAUUGCUGAAAUAGAAGGUCCAUAUGUCCCUUGAGCAGGUACACAGCAAGUCCCUUUUCCAGCCCAAAAGAGAUGGAUUUCAAUGUAAUUUUCCAAUACUUGAGCCGUGAAUUCUUUCUUAACAGCUUGGAAAGAGACCCCUCCUGCCUCCUUUCUUAUGUCAAAAUCUUUUAAAACCAAAUCUCCCUAGAAUAAACAAAUUAAAACUUAGAUAAAAAAAGGGGAAACAUAUUGGAGAAUGUCUUCUUAGGAAUUUGGGAAUAGAAGAAUUCAUUUAAGUUUCAUUCACUAAGCCAUAACCUGAGAUUAUAUCAGGAAGGAAUCAGAAGGACACGGUUGAACUGACAAUUUGGAGUAGAAUUUCAUAACUAAGAAUAAUAUUGAUGGUUAAGGCAACAUUUUUGAAUAAGAAAGAAGCUGGAGUUUUCAUUCUAUAAUUCUUAAGAAAACUUUUAGGAGUUAUUCUCAAUAUUGUGGUACAUUAAGUAUCUAUUGAAUCAAUAAUCACCAAAAAAAAAAGAAAUAAAACCAAAUUGCAAUAUCAAGAUCUGUCCAAAAUUUUCAAAAUAAUUACAAAUUGAUUCAAAAUAAACACAAUGUUGGUUACUCUGAAGCUUGAGUUUAACAAAGAAUAGUAAAAACACAGUUUCUUGCACAAGUCCUUAUUUCAAUACUAACCUGGAUAUAAACAUCAAAGACACGCCUUCCAAGACUCUUCCAAGAAUUUGAAUUAACAAUUGCUGUCUCUGCAAAUUGGAGGGUCAAAGUAUAGUUUCCAUUCUCAAGGCCUAAGCCAUAGUAUCUUAAUGAUCCAGCAGAGAUCCUUGCUGUUUGGAACAGCUCUGAGUCUAAAGUAUUUGUGAAUUGAGAUGAAGACGUGCUUGUGUACUGAGGAUUGUUGCUUCCGGAAAACAAUCCAACAUUGCUAACUGCCCACCUGUUUUCGUCAGUCACAUAGUAUGUAGCUGGACCAAGAGUUUCAUUAUCCCUCUCAAACACAAUCUGAUCAGAAGAUGUAAUCUGAGGACCACCACACUUGAUUGCAAAGUUGUAAUCUGUACACCAAUAGAAAAAGCAGCAUUUAUCAAAGUUAAAGAAGUGAUUUGAUUUUUUCAAGCGAAAAGUUAAAUUCACCUCCAUCCUUUUUUUAUCAAAGUUAAAUGCAUAAUUGUUUUCAAAUGGUUAUACUCAAGAAUAUUGACAACUAAUGAAAUAAUUCUUACUUAAGGUUGCAUAAAGUCAUUUUUCAAUGCUCAAAACUGACAUGAAUCAGCAGCAAACCUUCAUAUCUGUUUGAGUGAUAAUUCCAAAAAAAAUUCUGACAUUUGAUACUUCAUAAUAUCAUUUUACAACUCUCUCAGCCCAAUUCACCCCUCAAAUUGAUGACCUGUGAAUUUUCCACAAAAAGAGAAACUUGUGCUAUGAUAUCUAUUACAAGGCUCUCCCUGGACCUAACUAAUCAAAUCUCUUGACCCACAAGAAACAAACCUCAUUAGUUUCCCUUUUUUGAGUCUUUCAACAAACAUGUCCUGGAGAAAGAAUAAAACCUAAUGCAAGAACACCAAUCACUAAUAUGACUUGCCCGGUCUAAAUUAAAAUGGGUACUCAAGUAAAGAAAGGAUUUUCUUAUUCCUAGCUCAUACAAGUUAAUAGAAAUGUGAAAUACAGUUUCCAAUAUUGACAGUAUUCUUUUUUAUGACACUGAUACUAUAGUAGAUUUUUCUCCUUUUCAUGCCAUAAUACCUAAUAAUAUGUUCCACCACUGAAAUCAUGAAAAAGGGAAUGGUUCUGCAUUGAACUUACAAAUUCCAGAACCUCUAUUGCAAGGAAAAUUUUGUUGAAGGCAGUUCAAUCCUGAAGGAAGAACACUGUAAACACAGGAAGAAGAACAUACGAAGUUAAGCCAGAAAUGUAAUGAAAUUAUUGGAGCAGCCUAUAUUAACUAUUUUAGACUAUUAUGGAACUUUCAGACAUUAAGCAUUGAGAGAAACCAUUUGCAUACUUUUAAUGAAUAAGCAUAUCUUCAUGGGUUAAAAUAUGGGAUUGAAAAAAUCACCUGCUGUUUGAACUGUCUAGUGUGAAGUUGUUGGCGACCAAAUUACUGCAUAUUCAACCCCAUAGAGAAUCAUAAAGUACAAUGUUAGUAUCAAUAUCAAUUGAUACAGAACAUAACUCAUGUAACAAAAUGCAAGUUUCAUAUUAUCAUUGAAGAAGCAACAAAAUAUGUCAAACCCGAAAGCUGGUGGUUAAAAUAUUACAGGCUUUACAGCAUUGCAAUUUGAAUAUAAAACUAGAAACUUCUGACCUACAAAAUUUUGGAAAAAAAAUAAACAGAAAGAAUAGGAUUUUCAAACAUACAGUUGUAAAUUCUCUUCAUCAACCCAAGAAGGAAAGCUCCCUGAUAGUCCAUUGUAUGACAAGUCACUGCAGGCAUAACAUAAUGGGAAUAUUAAGUAUAUUGUCCACCAACUGAUAGCCAAAAUUGUGGUCAGUCUUAAAUUUAGAUAUUGGAAAAUCUUAAUUUAGUCAGUGGAAUUAUAUAAGAUUGGUCAAAUUGAACUUAAAAGAAGUAAUUUUUUCACACUACAAUAAUCUCAAUCCAGAAUCCUCAUGUAUGUUUCUCGAUUUUUCCUCAUAUGCAUAAAAUAUUAUGGUGUAACACAAAUAUCAAGAAAGAUUUUACAUGAAAUAAAUGGCACUGUACUAUGCUUCUGGGCUUGCUCUUUGAUUUGUUGCCCACAUCGUGACCCCUGAUGACCAUCUGUCAAUGCACCAUGAUUCUUUCAAACUAGUAAACAUGACACCUAAACCUACAUAAUGCUACCUUACAUACUGGAUGAGAAAUGAACACUCAUACUCUUGAGAGGGGGAAAAUCCAAAUCAAACAAAAGAAUAGACAUCAGGACUAAAAUUCUGUCCUAGGGGAACUUCAGGAAAAGAAAUUUUCUAAUAAAUUUGUUACUGCUGAAAAAGCAGGUACCACCUUCUUUUUGGAAGAAGCAGCUUUAAAUGUUUCACCUUCAUUGUUUAAUUUCAAAGAAAUAAAAUAAGCUACCAUGUAUUAUUCAAGCAGAGAUUUUUUUUUUCUUCUCCAAAGUUCCUUCCACAUCACAAUACAAACAAUAUAUAUCAGCAGCCAGUAGGAUCCUGAUUCUUAUUUUUGUAUCACCACAUAUCAGCAGCUAGACUUGUUCUUAGUGCAUAUCGGGAUUCAUAACCCUUUCUUCCAUAUGUAAACUUCUAUUUUAAGAGAAGUACUAAAUGAUUUUUGGGGCCUACAAUAUAUAGAUCUUCAUAGUCUCACAUAAAAUAUUUUAGAAAUGAAACUUGCCAUUCAACAGAAUUCAUAGCCCUAGUUCCUAGACUUAGCAUAAUGGGGAAAAAAAGGAAUAAAGAUAUUAGCUAGAUAUAUCAAUUUUGAACACAUUUUAAUGAUUAUGAACAUAAAUAUAUUGAAUAUACUUACAUAUUGAGAAGAGAUGUACUUUUCUGUGAAGGUAGACUACCAGUCAACUGAUUAUUUCCAAGGAACCUGAUAAAAAAGACAAACAAUACAUGCUUCACAAUGCGAAGGAAUAUCUCUUGGAAGCACAUGAAAGAACUAAGGAGGCAGGGAUCACUACAAGUAAGUGAGUUGACUCAAAUUGAAGAGAGAUUCUGGAAGUUGUCCACUUAGAUUGUUGAAACUCAAAUCCCUGCAUAAAUAGUCCAAAGGCUAUAACAAAUAUGGAGUAGCUGUCAUUGAAAAAAUAAAUUUAGAUAAGAAAAAUGAUCUCCAUGUGGCAAAAACUAAUAAAAUCUACCCCAAACCCAUCACCCCAGCUGAAUCAAACCAAGAAAAAUGGGCUUGGGUUGAUGGCUAACUUUUUUUUAAUUCAAUCCCAAACAUAUUGAGCUCUACUUAGACCCUGGAUUAACUUACCUGGCAAGUAUUUACUCAUUUAGAAUUUCCCAAAAUUAACUUUGUAUUAAAGAUGGAUUGUUGGGUUGGUUCCAGGUGAUUCUAUAAAAUGAGUUGUGCUCCAGAAAGUUGGAUGUUUUGGAGCCAAUCCAAAAUUUAACCUGACAUGUUCAUGCACAAAAGCAACAUCCAUAAUCGGGAAUAACUUACAGCUGAGUCAAACUUCCAUAUUCUCCAAUAUUUGAUGGAAUGGCAUCAGAGAUAUUAUUAUUCCUUAUUAUUCUGCAAAAGACAACCAUCUUUUUAUACUGAAAUCCCAUAUCAGAAGGUUAAGUGCAAAAGAUAAAAAUUAAAGCCAACUGUUUUAUAAGCUAGAAGCAUGUUGUCUUACAAGGUGCUUAGCGACUUCAUGUCCUUUAUAAAUUCCAGUGAAGAAGAGCUUCCGUUAGAUAUAUCACUUAUUCUCCUAGAUUUUAUAUAGCACAAGAAAAGGUUAAUCAUACAGAUCUGCUACCUAUGAAUGGAAAUAACUAACUGAUCCUACACUUACAAAUCGGUCAAAGAGGUUAAAUUGGAAAAUGAUGACGGGAUGGAACCUUCAAAAGAGUUCCCCUGAAGCCUCCUACAGAAACAGUUUGAAGAAGCAGAUUAUAAAAAUAUAGAAGUACUCUAUAAAGUUGAAUAUCAUGGUAUGAAAAGUUCACAUCCCUUAAAAGACAUACAUUUACAUUGAAUUUAUAGCAUAAAGUGAAUUAAGGCAUGUAAUCUAAGCAUAAGUGAAGGAAAAUAAUGAUUAAAAAACUGAUAACGUUCCCUUACAAGACAGUUAGCUUUGACCAAUUCCCAAUGAAAUCAGGUAUGUUUCCUGUGAGUUCAUUAUCCGACGCCCACCUGAGAGCCCCAGAAAUUUCAGAAAAUUAUAUGAGUGCACCUUUUUCUUAUCAAGAUAUAGUAAAACAAUCCCAAAAUGUGCAGACAGAAGGCGAAGAAAGCUCUUACACUGUAGUCAGGCUCUGUAGAUUAGCAAAUGUUGAAGGAAUAUCACCACUUAAACCAGAGCUAUCAAAGUAACUGUCGAGGUAAGCAGAAUUCAUUAAUUUAAACAAUAUCUAAUUUCUUUUCGUUAAUAAAACAUGAUCAGUGUGCCCUAGAAAUUACUCAAAUUUUGUACCCAUGCAUAUGUACAGAAAUCUACCAACUAAAACCAAGGAGGUAUGUUAAAAACUACACAAAUUAGGUGGAAAUGAUACAAAUACUUACUUAUCCUCUACCUGAUCUAAUUCAAAAGGAACUUCUAUUAGUUCAAACAGGUGGAAUUGUUUCCCAAACUUCUUACCAAAUUAUGGAGUGAAAUAAGUAUUUAUUAACCUUUAAAAUCCCAUAACAGCUGCAAGCACUUCAGCAGUUAAAGUUAACAAAAAGUAGCCUACAAUUUUUCCCUUUCUAGCAUUUGGUGAGGAGCUAUAUAUGCAAAAAUGGAGAGCAAAGAGAGAAGAAGGAAGUUUCAGACCGGGAUCAUUGAAAGACCAAAUUUAUAGUGCCAAAACCACAAGGUUCAAUGGACUUGAUCAUCAUGCAUAUGGAAAAACCUAAAAUGAAACAAAGUGAGUAUGUCAUCUUAGAAGAAGAAUGCUUUAUCCUUUUUCCAAAUUUUGAAAACAUUACCAUAGUGAAACCAUUGAUUGGUUAAACAAUAACAACAUAUCCUAAAUAUUUGUGUAAGCUACACUAUGAGAUCCUAUUAAGCUAUGUCACCCUCUCUACAGAAUCUGUUUUGUUUUUACAUAUCAUAGGUUGUCAUCUAUGUGCGUAUUAAUUCAAACCAUGUCCGUUUUGUUAUCCUUCCCUUCACCUUAUGGUCCUUUCAAUUCAAACCAAACAUCUCUCUACUAUUAUUGUUCUUCAUGGUCUAUGUUUCACAUGAAUAACCAUCUCAACCAACUUUAUCCAAUCUUGUCCCUAAUAGGUGGUUGGUGUUACCCAUCAAACCGAACAUGAUCAAUUUACAAUAUAUCCUGUUAUCACAAAUCCUCUUUAGCCUUAAGUUGAUAGUAGGUCUGAAAAUAUUGCAUUAGACCAUCAAAAAAAGAAAAAUAUCUCCAGUUCAACUAUACCCCUAUAAGUCCAUAGGCAAAUUCCUAUUUUGUCAUCCUUCCUUAAAUCAAACUAAGAUUACAAAAAUGGUCAUUCCUCAAUAUAUUUUGGAUACCAAUCUUCAUUAUUAUCUCAUUUCCACUAACUUAUCAAAGAAAAAAUUAUUAUCUCAUUUCCGCUCCUCAUCACAAAAAUGGUAUUCCUCAUACCUUGUUUUGAUCUCACUUGUCUGAAAGCCUAUAUAUACUUCUAUAUCCCUACAACUCCUAUCCCCCAUACACCUAAGACAAGCAUCUACAUUACUACAUUAUGACUAAAUACCCCCUUUGUAACCCUACCAAAUAUCUCAUGCCAGUUUUAUGCUGUUGAUCAUGACAAUAUAUCAGUUUGAUGCUAAAUUACAGUUGUCACAUCGGCUAGAAAUAAUAUCAUUGGAAAUUCUCAAGAACCGUUUCCAAAAUGUGAGGCCAAAUAACUAAUGUAACCUAACAAUAUUUUCAGCAUGUUUCAUAGACACACGAUAAAAAAUCAAAAUUAUAUUAGAACUUACAGUUGUUCUAACUUCACCAAAUUCCCAAGCUCAGAUGGCAGAGAACCAGAGAAGUUGUUUGUCCCAAAGGCACUGUAAAUUCAACAAGUAAAUAGCAUCAGGUUAGCUCCAAGUGGUAAUAUUUUAAAGAUUAUCUUCUUAUAAGUCCAUAUCAUCAGAAAAAGUACAUGAACAUGGUUGUUAUAACUUGACAUAGCAACACCUUGUUCUGACAUGGUCACACCAAGCCAAUCAAUAUGUCAAAUGAAAAAAAAGAAAAAGUGGGGUGGGCACAUAAAAGAGUUGGUAAGACUAGCAUCUUCCUAAAUUGAAAGUUAUAUGGUGUCAAACAGGGAAAUUUGGAUUGAAGCAUAGUACUUGAAGAUUACUAAACAAUUCUGUUAUCUAUACAAAAUAAGAGUAUGGAAACCUUACAUUGAUCGUAAAUCAGUAAGCUGUCCAAGUUCCUUAGGAAGCUCCCCUGAUAGUGCAUUAAUUCCCAGGCUCCUAACAACAUGAAAUUAAACACCAAAAAAGACACCAAUAAAUUUCAGUGUACUAGGAAAUUUCAAAUAAAAAUUUCUAGUGAUGAGCUUACAAGUACUGCAUGCUUGUUAGAUUGCCAAUGGAUGCAGACAGGGAACCUGUCAAAUAAUUUUGACCCAAAUUCCUGUUAAAAAAAUGGAGAAAAGUAGUGUUACAAAUAACACAGAAUGCAAUUGGAACCCUAGUAAAAUAUUUCAAUGGGUUGAUUUUCUGCAGUAAUAAUAUCCAAGAAAAUGAAGAGAUAAAAAUGCACAACCAUAACUACAAGCAACGAAUAAGUGAAAUAUGAAGUCAUACAGAUUGGUGAGGAAAGUCAAAUUCCAUAGCUCAUCUGGGAUUGCACCAACGACGUCCAAUGCAUAAACUUUCCUGUAAAGAAUCAUUAAAUGAAGUCUAAGCUUAAGAAGCUCUAAGAAGAUGAAAAAGACCCAGACAUGGAAUAUAGAUUUGAAGCGUUGGUUCAAGGGAACCAACUUGGAUGCAGUGGUCUAAGCAUCAGAUUGGGCCUCAAUGUCACUUGGGCAAUGACCACUCAAACCAAAUAUCAAGCAGAGGGACUGCAUUUAUAGGAAAUAGACCAACAAUGUACAAAAUCAAACUGAGUAAUACUCAACAAUCCAAGCACAAAAACAUGUACAUACAGUUGAGUGAUAUGGCAAGUAGAGGCAUUGUCGUAGGAACAAUCACAUUUGAUUCCGGGAUUUUUAAUGUCAGCGCUAUCAAGAGCAGCUCCGGUGCAUGGUUCCCCACUUGUGUUCCAUUCGUUUGAUGCUGAGAUUCCCCAUUGUUGAAAUAUAGAAUUCAAAAUUGUCACUGCAAUCAAAAUUCAAAUGCUAAGUACAAAUUUGGGGUUCUGAUCUUCUCAUGUAAAAACCAAUUGAUGAGGGUAGGAAGCCAUCAAACCCUUCCCAAUAUGAGCCUCCUGGACACCAUUUUACUUCAAAAUCAAUUUUUUUGGUGUGUUAAAAUCAAUUAUUUAUGGGCGUAGAUAAACAAACCUUUUAUAUCAUUCGACGUCACAUCCCAUCACAUCCCAUCAAUUUAUCCCAAAAACCGCCAUUUAUCAGAGGUAAAAAUAACAUUGGUUUGAUCAAUUUUAGAACAAAAAAAAUCAACCAAACUAAUAUGCUCAAUUUAUAUGAGGUAAAAUUUUGAAUAAACUAUGAUUUUAAUAAAAACCAAAUCAAACCUAACCAUUUAAGGCUUGUUUAAUUUGAUAUUUUUAAUCAAUUUUGGCUCAACAACAAUACUCUUUUUAUUUUGAGCUAAUCUAUUGAUAUAGUUUUACGUUAAAUAAUAUUUUUAUAUAAUAAUUGUAAUAAGUUUUAGCUGAAUCUAAAAGUCUAACAAGUAAUCAAUAAUAAGUAUUAACCAAUCAAAAUUUUAAAUAAUAAUAUGAUCAAUUUUGCUUUUUCUCAAACGGAACUAAGCAUUUCACAAUAUAAAAACAAACCAAUUUGAUCAAUUUUAAUUGAUUUGGAUUGAUUUGAUCAAAGUUUGAAUAUUUGACUUACACUCCUAUAGUUUGUCAUCCAUGAAGAUUAUAAAAAUGUACAUGACAAACUACCACGAGGAUUGUUUUCAAAAAGGGGACCAUCAAAUUGGCAUGAUCAAUUUUUCUUUUCCUCAAAUCGAACUAAGCAUUUCACAAUUUAACAAUAAACCAAUUUGAUCAAUUUUAAUUGAUUUAAAUUGAUUUGAUCGAGUUUGAUAAUUUGGCUUACACUCCUAUAUUUUACCACCUAUGAAAAUUACAGAAAUGUACAUGUCCAACUGCUAAGUUGAAUUUAUACCCAAUUGAAUAAUAUUUAUUGUAAAUAUCUACAAAAUGAUACCGUAUAAUAUAAGAUUUCAAUAAAAAAAAUAAUGUGGAACCACUUACGCGUCAACCAUGAUGAGUGUGAUAGUAAAAAAAAAAUGUCAAUUUGCAUCCUACACGUACUUUUAAAAAGACCAAGAAAAAUAAAUAAGUCUAUCAUUGCAACUUUAUCUAGUGAGGAGACAACUUGAAAUUUCUAAUAAUUGAGAUUAAUAAUUUAAUCUAAACAUUAUAAUAAGAGAUGAUGACGUCUUGCUUCUCUAAUGAGAUACAUGCCACCCAUGUUUUUAAUUUCACCAAAAUAUAUAUGAAAUGCUAAUUACUAAUGGAGUUUUGAGAUUUUUUAUCACAUGCGAUACUUAGACAACCCAAACAGAAGGCAUGAGAGAGAGAUGGAGACCAAAAGAGAGAAGAAGUAUGAGAGAGGUGGAGAGACAAGGAGAGAAGGGCACCUUCAGAUGGAUCAGUGGUAGCAUUGGCUUCAGUGGAUUGAGCAGCAGCUGCAUGAAAGAGCCCAAUCACAUAAACACCAUACAAGGCAACAAAGACCCAGCUGACUGAUUGAGCUCCGGGCAUCAACUUCAUCAUCAGCAAAAGAUAACCGACAGCCGAGAGAGGAAGAGAAAAAGAGAGAGGCGAUCAGGCAAAGGAGCUGAAAGCCGAUUUGGUGUAUAGAUGCAAAUUUACAAAGCACUUUCUUGUUAUAAUAACAUAUCUGCAACUCUUCAAAUACAGACGCUACCGCAGACAAGUCCCCACAGCCCAAAGACUUUCACAGGACACAUGGGUGUCUUUUCUUUUUUUAUUAUUUUAUUUUUAUAUUUACAAAGAAGUUGAUUAUGAACACGUUGAGACGGAUUUUGAGGGCUGUUACAGGCCACAGUAUCCGCGUUGGAUUGGUUAGGAGGAAAUGGAUAAGAUAAUGAAUGGAUACAGGAUUUGGACGCAAACUUUUUUGACGAGUGCGGGGGCGGGGGGCGGAGGAGGCUGAGGAUCAAUGUUCAGCAUCGGCUCCUGCUGCGGAGGUCAGAGAAAGCGUCGCCCAGGGUUGAUCUUGGCGUCAGUCAUUUUGUUGGGCCCUUCACACCGCCUCUUUUGUUAAUGUACCGCUGUCCAUUGUUGUUCUUUCUCGUUUUUCUUCUGUUGUUGUCUUUUGACUCUUUGUGACCGACCGCACGCAUUGUGGGCGUUUCCUCAUCAACUACUUAUAUGCCAAAAGUAACAUAUAGGAAGUUGAGUUGAAAAAGUAAUCUUUUUUUAAAUAAAAAUUUCACAUCCAAAUUAGUUUUUAAAAUAUUUAUCAAACUAAUUUUUUAACCAUGUCAACUUUAUUAAUUUUUAAUGAUAAAACCAUAAUCAUGAACUAUGAUUUUAUCAUUAAAAAAAAAUUAAAUAUAAUCAUGGAUUAUGCUAAUAUGGCAUAAUCGUGGUACUCGGAUGAAUAUUUUGAAAAUAAAUCUAAAUUUUUAUUUUAAAAAAAAUUACUUUCAUAGCAAACUCUAAAAAUUAAGCCACGAGCACAUUCAUUGGAUAUAAAAGCCCAAUGAACUAUUUGAGGGGAUCGGUCCUUAAUCUUCUUCUCUCAUUUUUAAUACCCAUUGAGAUGUCCAAUAACCCUAAUUUGAUUAUUUUAUUGGCAAAUUUUAUCUCAAAUUAUGAAUGAAACUAUAAAUACGAAAAUCACUACAACUUUUUAACAAUAUAAGAGUCUUAACCUUUGUUAUUAUAAAAUAAAUAAAUAAAUAAAUAAAAAAUAAAAAAACCAAAAACUCCAAGAGUUGAAUUCUUUUUUAGAAGAAAAUUUGUGUUUUGUAAUUUUUCAAAGAGUAAGACUUUGUGUUCUGACUGAACACUCUAUCCUCAAACUUAUUUCAUUACAGUUUUAAUAUAUAUACUUAAUCCCUCUAAUAUGGCAUAAUCGUGGUACUCGGAUGAAUAUUUAGAAAAUAAAUCUAAAUUUUUAUUUUAAAAAAAAUUACUUUCAUAGCAAACUCUAAAAAAUUAAGCCACGAGCACAUCUAUUGGAUAUAAAUACCCAACAAACUAUUUGAGGGGGGUCAAUCCUUAAUCCUCUUCUCUCAUUUUUAAUGAGAAAAAUUAUUCCCUAGCCUCUUCUAUUGGGCUUGAUUAUGGGAAAGUUCAGGUUUCCUUUUAAUACCCGUUGAGAUGUCCAAUAACCCUGAUUUGAUAAUUUUAUUGGUAAAUUUUAUCUCAAAUCGUGAAAGAAAUUAUAAAUUCGAAAAUCACUGCAACUUUUUAACAAUAUAAGAGCUUUAACCUUUGUUAUUAAAAAAAAACAAAAAACAAAAACAAAAACUCCAAGAGUUGACUUUUUAGAAGAAAAAUUGUGUUUUGUAAUUUUUCAAAGAGGAAGACUUUGUGUCCCGAUUGAAAUAGCCCAAUCAAAAAUAUCCAAACCUAUCAUAUUUCACUUUCGUCAUUCAUUCAUAUUUCAUUUUUUAAAAGUCAUUCAUACAAACAAAUGUUUCAUGCAAUCAUAUGAGCACAAUUGCAAUUUGGGAGUUAUGAACUCAUGUACGUGUUAGAAAUAAAUAAUAGCCUAACCCCAAAAUUUAAAAAUAAAAAAUAAUAAUCAUAUCUCACUCUAUCCCCAAACUUAUUUCAUUACGGUUUUAAUAUACACACUUAAUCCCUCAACAUUAUAAAUGUAUUCAUAAUUAUAUCAAGUACAAUUAUGAUAUAAUAGGUUGAUUGUAAAUAUAAUUUCUUCAUUUUGAGCUCAUAUGUUUUAGAUUUAAAUUAAUCAUUUAUUAAAUAUGCUCCAUAAAAAUAAAUUGUUUCAGUUCAUUAAAAACAUAUCAAAGUAAUAACAUUAGUUUGUCACUUAAAAGAUGGUCAAAAUCAAGGAUGAAAAUUUCACGAAAUUUUGUGUCUCCUAACUCCUACCAAUACUAUUAAAUGGUGGAGAAAUAUCUACCUAACCCUUUCAACCAAUUUUUCUAUGGGUUCUAUAAUUUUGGAUUUUCAUCAAAAUUUGGUGAUUUUUCGAUUCGACUUAUCAAGGUCAAAGUUCAUAAAACUCCAUAAAUGAGAGGAUUUGGACUUGAACAUAGAAUUCUCCCAUAAAAGAAAAAGAGUUAAUAUAUAGGUGAGUGUAAGACAAAGAUGGUAGCAAAAUGACUUAAGAAAGAAGAAUUGCAGUGUGAUUGUCAAAAGAAAAUGAGGCUUAAGGUUAGGAUGUUUAUGUAGAUGGAAAUUGAUGUAAUUAAUUAGAAAAGUGUGAAUAAUAAAGUAAAACUAUAUUAUAUCCGGGAUGUGGCCAUCAAACCCAUUCUCAAGGGAUGUUUGAUAAAACUUAAUACUUAAUGACUUAAGUUGACUUUAAGUUAAAUUAUACUUUAAGUUGUUGAUUUUAAACUCAUUACUUAAUUCUUAUUUUAUGUAUUAAGAUUAUUUAAUAAAAUUAACUUAAAAUUUAAUCUAAAUUAUUAAAUUGACAUAUUUAUCCCCAUAAAUUAUAAUUAGAGCAAAAGGGAUUAAAUAAUAAUGGAAGUUUUAAAUUAGUAAAAGUUGUGAAAGUAACUAGAGUAAAUGGAGUUAAAAAGGUAAAAUAAAGAUGUAAAGUUAAAAAUAAGAUAAUUGUUUUUACUUAUCACUUAAAAUUAUUUUUUAUUUUAAGUUAUACUAUUAAAUUAUUUUACGAAAUAUAAUUAAUUUAUUUAAUAAUUUAAAUUAAAUUAUUAAGUCACUGUUAUUAAAUUAGUUUACCAAACACUCACUCAAUCCUAAAUCAAUCAACUUUUGCAUUUUUGCCCGAAAACGAAUUCAAAUUCCCCAUACUUGUCCUAUAAGGGUGCAUUAUGGCAGGUUAUCUAAUUAGCUUAAGCAAUUGUCAUCCCAAAGGAGUGUCUCUAGCAAAGCUAAUGUGGAUAAUUUUAUAUUUAACAACACAUUGAUGUCCACGGGGCAAAGAGGGUCAUAUUGUUUGACCAAAACUACACGGGUCAUGUAAUUUUAGGAAAUAGUGUAAUUUUUCCUUUUCUAUUAUCAUCUAUGACUCCUCUGUUAAGGAACCAUUUUUGAUUGACUUAUUUCCUAUAAAUAUUCUUAUCUUUAAGAAAAAUAACCUCUAAAAGAUAUGUAGCUCUUACAUCACUAAUAUUUUAAGCUAUAGAUAACACCUUAAUCCAAAAUUGUAGUAACGAUGUUUUUUUAUUGAAUGAAAAAAAGUUAAAUAUUUUUAUUUUUUUAAUUCAAUUAAAAAUAAUCUAUUGAUAUUAACUAAUAUAAUUAUAUAGAAUGUAUUAAUAACAAGUUCACUUUAUUUAUAUAUAUUAAUAUCAAUAUAUUAUUUUUAACUUAAUAAAAAAAAUCAAAUAUUUUAUAUUUUUCUAUCAAGCAAAAAGAAAAACAGGAAAAUCUUCACCAAGCUGCUGAGAGUGUGUGCAUGAUUUAAUUUUGUCUCUUUGUUUGACUUUUCUGAUUUGUUGUUAGCAUAAUGCAGGUACUUCUUGUGUGCUACAGUUCUGCUCCUUUUGGCGUCUCUUUAUUAUCAAUAAGUCAAAUUAACAGGAUGAUUAAUGUAGGUGAAGGGCAUGACGUAUGUGAGUGUGACCCAUAAUUUGUGAUAUUAGAUACACUAUGUACCUUCCCAUGUACAGUGUUUAGAAUGAGCCAUCUAUGAACCCUAAAUAGUUAAAUUGCCUUUUCUUCUUCCAAGCUUGUGUCAGAAUUUGGACUUCCACUAACAAUCUCUAGAGCUACAACACCAAAACUACACGCAUCGGCCUUUUCUGUGAGGUGCCCACGCAUGGCAUACUCUGGUGCGAGAUACCCACUACAUCAGUAACAUAAAAGACCAGUUUAAAACUUUGAGGAUACAUGAAAAAUAUCCCAAAAAAGAGAAUAAACAAGGAACAUAGGGCCUUGACUUUUGAGGAUCUUACAUUGUGCCUGCAACACGGGUGCUUAUGUGAGUCAUUGUGCCAUCAUACUGUUUGGCCAAACCAAAAUCUGAAAUCUUAGGAUUGAGAUAAUAGUCAAGCAGAAUAUUGCUGGCCUUCACAUCUCUGUGUACAAUGCGAAGUCACGAUUCCUCAUGAAGAUAGGCUAGACCCCUGGCUACACCCAAGCAUAUAUCAUAACGGGUUGGCCAAUCAAGGUCCAAACUUCCGUUUCCUGUACAUGAAUAAUAAGCAUAACUGUAUUCAUUGUGUUUUCUUCAUAAG
rnacentral:lncRNA from 1 species